CCUACGGGAGGCAGCAGUGGGGAAUCUUGCGCAAUGGGCGAAAGCCUGACGCAGCAACGCCGCGUGCGGGAAGAAGGCUUUCGGGCUGUAAACCGCUUUCAGCAGGAACGAAAAUGACGGUACCUGCAGAAGAAGGAGCGGCCAACUAUGUGCCAGCAGCCGCGGUGAUACAUAGGCUUCAAGCGUUGUCCGGAUUUAUUGGGCGUAAAGAGUUCGUAGGCGGUCGAGUAAGUCGGGUGUGAAAAUUCUGGGCUCAACCCAGAGACGCCACCCGAUACUGCUUGACUUGAGUUCGAUAGGGGAGUGGGGAAUUCCUAGUGUAGCGGUGAAAUGCGCAGAUAUUAGGAGGAACACCGGUGGCGAAGGCGCCACUCUGGAUCGAUACUGACGCUGAGGAACGAAAGCAUGGGUAGCAAACAGGAUUAGAUACCCUGGUAGUCCAUGCCGUAAACGGUGGGCACUAGGUGUGGGUUUCUAUUAACGAAAUCCGCGCCGUCGCUAACGCAUUAAGUGCCCCGCCUGGGGAGUACGGUCGCAAGACUAAAACUUAAGGAAUUGACGG
rnacentral:rRNA from 1 species